UUUAAACAAAAAUAUUGCACAUGUAAUUAAAAAUCCAGAAAAACUAAUAAACAAGUUUUUCCGUUUUUCACAUCUUCAAUAUAAAAGAAAAGUUCAUUCUCUUCCCCACCCCUCAUCCUGAUAAUCCUUUCCCAUUUCUUUCUCUCAAUUUUUCUUCUUCUGCAUAUUUCCAAUAAGAUCACAACCGUGUGGAAACAAAAACCUCAAGUAUUUUCAUACUCACCCAAUAUGUGUGUUUCUCUGUGGCUUCAUUCCAAGUCAAUCUGCAAAGCUAAAUGAUAAACUGAACAAUGACUAUUAAAGAUUGCCUUUUCGGCCACUACUCCCUGAGUGAAAGCUGAGAAAGAGCGGAACAAAAGCAUUAGUUUAUUGGGAGAAAAGAUGAGAUAACAAUUGCACUUUUGGUUGAGAAGUAUCAGCACCAUUGCUGUCUUCUCGAAUAACAAAAGCAGAAACAUAAAGUUAAAAUCAAUAAUUAUAUAUCCAUAUCGAUUCGAAGCUCUACCUCGGGUCAGUUAAAUGGAUCUUCAACAUCCUUUUUGCUUCCUAUAAACCCUUUUAUCUGGGUCGGUUCACCAAUUAAAUAAAAUCUUCUCCAAUUUCAAUAACAAUCAGAGUUCUAAUUAUUGGACAUGAUGAAAUAGGGUAAAAUCCACUUAUUUUUUACUGGUUAUUGUUGGUCAACCUUGGGCUUUACUAAACAGUUGGGAUUGUCGAUACUAGAGGAUGGCUUGUUGGUGGACGAAAUUUUUCAGGGAGAAGGUGGAAAUAAUUUGGAAUUAAAAAAAAA
rnacentral:lncRNA from 1 species